ensembl:sense_intronic Gm44836 predicted gene 44836
GCUGAGCGGUGGCAGCACAUACCUUUAAUCCCAGUACUUGGGAGGCAGAGGCAGGAGGAUUUCUGAGUUCCAGGACAGCCAGGGCUAUACAGAGAAACCCUGUCUCGAAAAAACAAACAAAAACCCCCAACCAACCAAACAAACAAAAACAAAACAAAGCAAAAAACAAAACGGACAAAAAAGAAAAAAGAAUAUAAGAAAAUAGGCAACUAAGAUGAACAUGAUUUUUGAGGCAGUUCCAGGAGGGGUAUUGAGUUCUACAAAGCCCUACAGAACAGGCAGAGCUAAAUAGAGAAAACUUGUCUUUAAAAAACAAAAACAAACCAUAAUAGGUGA